UACGUAGGGGGGCUAGCGUUGUCCGGAAUCAUUGGGCGUAAAGAGCGUGUAGGCGGCCCGGUAAGUCCGCUGUGAAAGUCGGGGGCUCAACCCUCGAAUGCCGGUGGAUACUGUCGGGCUAGAGUGCGGAAGAGGCGAGUGGAAUUCCUGGUGUAGCGGUGAAAUGCGCAGAUAUCAGGAGGAACACCGAUUGCGAAGGCAGCUCGCUGGGACGUCACUGACGCUGAGACGCGAAAGCGUGGGGAGCAAACAGG
rnacentral:rRNA from 1 species